UCUACUCUGUGCCUGGAUAGCCUGACAGCUGUAAAAUCAAAGGCUAUUUAUUCCUCUUCUUUUGGCUGGGAAGGUCUUGAGAGCUAAGAUUCUGUGAUCCAGAACUCAGCUUCGUAUCUGGCCUCCUGGAAGAGAAAAGGGCCCAUCAUAUGCUUAUGCUUAUUUUUCCAGGAUAUUGCUUUGGAAAUUGAGUCAGGGAUCCAUGGGUGGAAUGAAAAUACAAUGAGCAGCAUCACAUUUAUCUGUUCUCUGGAGUUUGUGACAAACUCUACCUGGCAACGGGAGGUCUGAAUUUCGGAAGGAGCCCUACUCGACAGGAGUCUUUCUCUACAAGACAAAACAGUAUAGAAUCCGAAACAUGUCCACCUUAUUUGAAAAGGUUAGCAAGAAAUUGGCCAAGGAGAUUGACAGAGACCUGAAGAUUGUCAACUUCUCAGAUGCCACAAAAAUCUCUCAGUUUGCUAUAUUACAGAAGAAGAAGAGUACUUCACUGUUUCGGGAAAAACCUGAUGAACCAGUUCAAGUCUCCCUCAUAGACAUCCUGGAACCAAAUUCUUCAGUCUCCAGUAUUGUCAACCAGGAGCAAGAGAGGGAAGGACAGAAAAACAAAGACUACCAUGAAGUGAAAGGACCAUUCUUCUUCAGAAAUAUUAUGGUGCAGAAGCACAAGGCUGGUAUCAGUGUGAAUGCCGGCGUAGAUGCGAGUUUGUCGGGGGAGGCUACCGAGUUCCAAGAGUUCGACCUCGAGUAUCAGAUUGUUACCACCCCAUUUCUAUCCUGGAUAGACCUUAAAAAAAGGAAAGUGUUGGAUUCAAUGCUGUCAGCUCUGAAGAACCGGACAGCAGCAGAGAACCUAUACGUUGUGACAGAAAUUGUGCAACUGGUCAACAGUCCUAAGCUACAGGAUGUCAGAAGUUCGAAUAUUUUGGGAAAAUUGUUAAUCCCUUGGAAUACUAUUUUCAAGGGGGGAGCCAUGGGAGAGGACAGCAAAAUGGAAAAAAGGGAGAAGAUUCUACAGAAAGGCAUGGUGAUGGCCUAUAAGAAGAAGAAGCUGAUUAUCAAGGGCAACAACUGGGACAUCUCAGAUGACGACAAGCAGAGAACCUUCCCAGAAGAGCAACUGCGCAUGUUAAUGUCAUCAGGCCCUGUAAAUCCUACCAUCCUGCCAAUAGGAAGAAUAGAAGAAACCUUUUGGCGAGAUUUCAGGUGCCUCCAAGAAGAGGUUUCUGAGAAAGCGGAGGCUGCGGCCCGGCUCCCCAGAGACGUUCAGGAUGUCGUGUUCUCUAACGUCCAGGACAUGCUCCGGGACCGAGAGGCCCUGGAGGCCCUCGUGCACAUGCUUGAACAGGAACCUUUGGGUCAUUUGAAUGGCCCUGGCGGCACCAUCCUAAAUAAGCUACAAGAGGAUUCCGGGUAUUCAUGGAGUAACACAAAGUACCUCAUCCUUUACCUGCUAGAAGCCAUAGUCGUGCUGAAUGACACCCAACUUGAUCUGCUGGCCCGGUCCAUGGAGAAGGGGAUCCUGCUGCAUCAGCGGGAGCUGGUCCGGAGCAUCCUGGAGCCCAACUUCAAGUACCCCUGGAACAUUCCCUUCACCCUGAAGCCCGCGCUCCUGGCCCCCCUCCAGGGCGAGGCUUUGCUGAUCACCUGCGGCCUGCUGGAGGAGUGUGGCCUGGAGGUGAAGCUGAAUAGGCCCGGGUCCACCUGGGACCUGGAAGCCAAGCAGCCGCUGUCUGCCCUGUACGGGGCCCUGUCGGUCCUGCAGCAGCUGGCGGCAGCCUGAGCCUGCCUGGGGGGUGUCUGUCCAGAGCGGCCUGCCCCUCCCCAGGCUACUCUAGGCUGGCUGUUUACCUGAUAUUGCGGCCAUGGGGAGACUCGAAAGCAGUGGCUGAGAAGAACGUCAUUCUCUGAUGGAGCCCUGGGGGACGAUAGAGCCUGCACCAUAUGCGUGCCUGUGUGCGUCACGCUUCCAUUUACCUGCCAUGGUCAUGAUAUCCCACGAGCUCUCAAUUCCGACGGCCAGAAUCCGGGGCAGGUCAGCAUGACUCGAAGUGAACACAAGCUGUUCUUGACUCUCAGGAAGUUGAAUUGCUCUUUCUUUUGGGUUCCCCUGCAUGCUGACCACAGGGAGGUCGGAGUCACUCUUCAGAAGAGAUGGUGAUGGGCAGACAAUGAUGAAAAAAACCAACACAGCCUCAGCCAUCAUGAGAUUGAAGUUCUAGAACAGAGGGACAUAAUUAUUACAAGGACACAUACAUGCACAAGUACAAGAACGAUCAAGCAGCAGCGCCGGCCAUUCGAGGCAGCGGCCACGUUGAAUCCACCCUCGUCCGCUUGUCCACAGCAAGCUCAAAUAUGAUGUGCUGAUGAAGAGCGUGGACUUGCCAUCCGGGCUGUGUUCAGACCCGCUGCCGCUUGCCGGCUGUGUGAUCUUGGGCAAGUCACUUAACCUCUGUAUUCUCAUCUGCGCAUCGGAAAGAUCAUACGCCACACCUUGCAGGGCUAUUGCGAGGAUUAAAUGACAUGAUGUUUCUUUCACUUGCCUGGAAUGACCCCUGCUCCCCCUUGCCUACAUCCAAAUCCUCGUGGUCAUCCAGAGCUGAGGAAAGUCAGGAAAUGGCCGGGGCUUGGACACCCCCCCAGUCCCUCUCUGGUUCCACCACCCAGUCACUGUGGGUCACUCGGGCUUCUGGAUUUCAGCUCCCCUCUCUGGGAGGUGGAGAUGUUUACAGACUUCGUGGUGCUGCUGAAAGUGAAAUCCUCAACCGCUGGCAGGUAGCAGGUACCUAAUAAACGAUAGAUCCUAUUAAACCAAGUCUUCCUGCCUGAACUUGCCCUCUGAAGCCUUCUGGAAAUUAUUGAUUCUACCAUUUAUCUGGUCAUUCAUGGACCACAAGGUACCCUGUGUCACCCUCUUCUCCUGCUUGGCACUAUUAUUGGAAUCCUAUUGCUCUCAGUUUUUCCAAUGGGCUAGGCUCCUCCUCAGGGCAGUGAGCACUGAGGGAAGACCCUGCACAACAUUUCUAGGGGGACCACAGUUUCUGGGGAAAUCCCGGCAUGCCAGAAGCCUCGUGCAGGGCCUACGCUUUUCCACCACCGCCUCGUCUUUCUGCAGCGGUGCGCUGGCUGCGUGCUGCCCGGCGCUUUAAGGCUACAGUUUUGUCAUUAGUGUUUAUUUUUUUGCAUCUUUCCCUUUGUGUGGUAGACUCUCCCUCCUCAGCUUGGGACUUUUCCUGGCUGCCCCGUUGACCAGUUGUGAGGCUGGGUCCAGAGCUGGGCCAGAGCAGAUAAGGGCUCAUUCUCAGAACCAGCUGGGUGAUUGCUGGGUGCCUUGUCCUUCUUACUUUCUUCUCUGGGAAAACACUUGCCUGGCAACUGGGUUCCAAGAAACCUUUCAGUGCUCCUGUGGCCCAGAUGUCCCCUCACCUGAGAUAAGGCCUGGGGGUCAACUCUCAGGAGGGGGAAGGUACAGGGGAGAGGAGGACUCACAGCAAGGUGCGACCUCCAGCAGCGAUGGCCUGCAGACUGGGCUGCCUGGGUGAAGGUGAGGACCAAGCCCACCCUAUGGGCAAGUUUCUGGAGACAGCCUCUCCCGUCGCUGGCUCGGACCUCCAGGGAGGGGCUGGGGGUCUCUCACCUGGAGAGGAGCUCUGGACUGCUCUGAGGCCUCCUCGGUGGGCUGGGUGGCUGCGCCUCUAGUUGCCAGAGCAGAUGGGCCAUGGGUGCAGUGCAGAGCCCUGGAUUCUGGUCUUGGCUCUCGGUCCCUCACUGAGUGAUCCUGGACAUGUCACUCAAACUCUUUGGACCUCUGCUUCCUGCCUAGAUUGUGAACAUGUCUUUUAUUUUAAACAUUUGUUUUUUUAGAAAGACCAGAUGCUUGAAAUUUUUUUCCAAAAAGGAAUUAUAUGCAUAUUCCAAGUUUAUAAAACAUAAAAAGAGCAGCUCUGUGUGAAGGAGGCUGGACGACUUUCCUGUCAUUCCCUGCUUCAGCACAAUUCUCCAGGGCACCUCCAUGCAAACCUGGCUUCCCCAUUGCAAUAUGAACCCCCUGGACUAGGUACUUUCAGCUGUCUGUUCUAGGUCUCCCUGGCUGCUCUGAUGAUUACCCCCUUUCAAAGGAGAUGGAAGAGCUGUGCUCAUGUGCACAGGGGUGAGGGUCAAAAUAUUUACCCAUUGCCACCCAAUCACAAACCCCUCGGAAAGGAUGCUGGUCAGCGAACUGGUUGAAUAAAUCAGCUAUGUUUUUGUAUCAGGAUCAUAUGUGAAGUGCUUUCGAAAUACGUUCUUUGGGUCAUUGAGAUUCAUUUGAAUAAAAAUUGGGGGCUAUUAAUUGGAAUAAUGUCCACAGGAAAUCAGUAAAUGUACACUCCCCAACAAAUAACUCGAAAUCAAAACAUUAAAACAGUUAUUCUGGGUCUUCGGUUGGAUAAGUGGUCUCCAGGAGGAAAGGGCAGAAUGAGAAGGGAUUGGACUGACUUUGAGCACAUGUAGGGCAAGAAUUUCGCCAGGAACAUCAUGAAGUCCGUUCUCUAGGAUAGGUUCCAUACUUCACAGCUUGUGAAAUCUGCGUGUAUUAGUUUCCUAGGGCUGCUUUAACAAACUACCACGCAUUUAGUGGCUUUACAAAACCCCAUAAAUUUAGUCUCUCACAGUUCUGGAGGUGAGAAUCCAAAAGUAAGGUGUCAGCCGGCCCACCCUCUCUCUGCAGCCUCUGCGGAAGAACCCGUUCGGUCUCCUGGCUUCACUUGGCUCCGGGCAUUCUUUGGCUUGUGGCUGUAUAACUCCAGAAUCUACCUUUGUCUUCACACAGAGUUCUUCUCUUUUCCCUGAAUUUCUUCCUGGUAUCUCUUAUGAAGACUCUGUUACUGGAUUGAACGCCCUCCUGGAUAAUCCAGGGUCAUCUCAAGAGCCUUAGUUUAAUUACGUCUGCAAAAAUUCCUUUUUCAAAUAAGGUCACAUUGAUAAAUUCUGGAGUUUAGGAUGUGGACAUACCUUUUAGGAACCACCACACACUACAAGGUAUUAUUAACCCUGCUGUAGAUAUGAGGUGUCCAGGGUUCAAUUCGUGUGGGUAAUUUGCCUAUGGCCACUGAGCUGGUGGGUGGCAUUGCUGGGCUGGUUUACGCUCUGUGUGCUAAUGUCACUGAACAGACCAGGUAAAUGUAGGAGAGUUCCCCGAAAUCCAACUUACUUGCAAAGCUCUGCUUUGCCCACAGAGGGCACUAAACGCCAGUCUGUUUUUGAAGUGGUUAUUGAUUCUGAGGCCUUGGUCUGAGCUUCUGGGGUGGGUGUGGGGCAGGAGGGAGGGGAUGUGUGAACUGAUGUGCCUGCUUUUAUAUCCCUAGCACAGUGCAGAAAAUGUUGGACAAAUGAAGUUGAAUGCCCCUAAGAAGAUGCUGUACUUAUAUGGCCAUGAACCUUGGUAGUGUCCACAGUGCAUAGUUAGUGACAGGGCACAGGUGCCAUGGAAAAGGCUGUGUGGGAGCAGAGCUUCCUCUGAGAGCCCCUGCUCUUAACUCAGCCACUUUCUACUUGCGGGACCUCAGAAUGAAGGCAAAUUGAAACGUGGUGUUUUUGAUCAAACACCUUAAGUCACAGCAAGGCUUGGAGGAGCACCAGAAAGUCCUUGUUUCUUGACUGUGGGCCUUGGUGGGGUGCUGGAACUCCCCUGCUCCCCGUGACCUCCUUCUGCUGCUUCAGGGAUGGCCCACAGACAGGCCAGCUCUCAUUCAUCUGAAACACCACUCAGAAGGCAGGAAUUUGCAAUCCAUUCCAAGCUGGAAGUGACUUUCAUGUGAUGAGGCCACGCCACUGUAUGACUCUGUAACUAAUUCCCCCAGCCCGGCAGCUCUCCAAAUUCCUGGGCUGUGAUCAGUCCACCAAACAACUUCAGGUCAGAGUCAGGAGAACCCUGUAUCUAGAAUCCGGUGUGGGUGCUCCCGGCAGUGAAACACUCAAGCCCCAAAUUUGUUUUCCCCAUUCUUUCCAGGCAGCUCUCUUUAGGCAAGGAAUAUGCAGCCCUCAAAGCUGAAAGACCUUACAUUUAGUUAAAAAAAAAAAAGAAAAAGAAAAAAUCAGAGCUGGGACUCCAUGACUCAGGAAGUCACUACUACUGGCAAAUGUUCAUUUUUCUUGAACUGAAACACCCGGAAAUGAACUGAAUCGUCUUACCACAGUUUUGUGAGCACAUUUAGGACAUGCAUCACUCUAAAAGUGGCCUCAUAAAGGGAAUAUUCCCUGGGAAUCCCAACACUGCCUUCGAGCGUUAGCUCUGUUCCUAAGUCACUGGGAAAUUUUGAGCAAAUCUAACUUCUCAGGAAGUCAGUUUCCCUAUUCCUAAAAUUAGUUGGCUUCAGGGUCUCCUUCCCUAUUUAAAAGUUUUUGCUGUAUUUUUGAGUGUUAGAUAAAUUCAAUGUUGAUGGAUCCGUAGAAUAAUCCAUAAGGGUUCUUACACUGGUAUAGUGCUUCAUGGCUUCAUCUGUGGCUUGGAACCCUCUGAACUUGUUUCCCCAGUAUGUACAUUAGGAAACUGAGGCUCAGAUACACUGAGUGUCACGGCCAUGACUUUUUGACUAAUUUUUAGUAACAGAGGAGGUAAGACUAAAACCCAGAUCCCCUGAUAUCUAGUCCAGAGUUCUUUCCAUGCUUGACACAUAAGAUUAUUGACAGAGCAAGAAACAAUAUCCAUGCAUGGCCAUCUCCAUCAGAGUCAAAAUCCCGCUCAAUUCAUUCUUCUGAAUAAUGGUCAUCUGCCACCCUUCGUGGCUGUAUUUAAAUUCUUAUUUGGAAUUGCUUUCAAUAAAAUAUGCCACAUGUUAAAAACA